UACCGAGGGUGCCAGCGUUAUUCGGAAUUAUUGGGCGUAAAGGGCGCGUAGGCGGCAUGGCAAGUGGAUGGUGAAAUCCCUCGGCUUAACCGAGGAACUGCCGUCCAAACUGCUUCGCUUGAGACCGGGAGAGGUGAGUGGAAUUCCCAGUGUAGCGGUGAAAUGCGCAGAUAUCAGGAAGAACACCCGUGGCGAAGGCGGCUCUCUGGGACGGUACUGACGCUGAGACGCGAAAGCGUGGGGAGCGAACAGG
rnacentral:rRNA from 1 species